GGGGAUUUAGCUCAGUGAUAGAGCACUUGCCUAGAAAGUGCAAGGUCCUGGGUUCAGUCCCCA
rnacentral:tRNA from 1 species